UGGCGGACGUGUUAACCUUGACUGGCCUUGCCAUGGUCCCCGCGAUUCCUGCUUCGUUACUUGACGGUGAAUGUGUCGGCGGUUCGCGUUCGUGAGAUGAAAAGCGAAGCAGCUGAGGAGACGGCGGGCUACCCACGGACGCGGCGAGAUGGGUGGCCGAUCAAUGUGGCGGGACGCUUCGUUUGCCGCCCACAUUCCAUUCGCCUUCCCCUGGGACCUGACGCCAAGCCUCUGGCCGCCCUGCCUAUCACCACGUGGCGGUGGGGUCACCCUUUGUCUUCCGGACGCCAGCCCCGGCUGCAACCUGAGCCGGCCCAGCAACCACCCCAGUCUGUGUCCGCCUUUCCUCGGUGGCGGACCCCUGACCUCGGUGGCGGACAUGUGACUUGCUGGCAGCUACCUUAUUAAAUUUUGUACAGUUUUAUUAUAUCAAUAUACGGUAGCUGAUUUUACAA